UACGGGGGGUCCAAGCGUUAUUCGGAAUUAUUGGGCGUAAAGCGCAUGUAGGCGGUCGGGUGUGUCAGAUGUGAAAGCCCAGGGCUUAACCCUGGAAGUGCAUUUGAAACUGCCUGGCUUGAGUCUCGGAGAGGAAAGUGGAAUUCCCAGUGUAGAGGUGGAAUUCGUAGAUAUUGGGAGGAACACCGGUGGCGAAAGCGACUUUCUGGACGAUGACUGACGCUCAGAUGCGAAAGCGUGGGUAGCAAACAGGAUUAGAUACCCUGGUAGUCCACGCUGUAAACGAUGAGUACUAGGUGUCGGGGGUAUUGACCCCCUCGGUGCCGAAGCUAACGCAUUAAGUACUCCGCCUGGGGACUACGGCCGCAAGGCUAAA
rnacentral:rRNA from 1 species